AAGUAUUAAUGUAUUAUUUAAAGUAAUUAGUUAUUCAGUGUGCCAAUGUGCUGCAAUAGCAGCAAUCGGUACAAUGACUAUUAUCCCCCAUACUUAUUAUU